AGGAACUUAGGUUAACUUAAACCAAGGGCCUUCAAAGCCCUAAAUGAAGACAAAAAUCUUCAGUUUCUG
rnacentral:tRNA from 1 species